AGUGGAAUUGCUGGGUCUUAUGGUAAUUCUGUGUUUAACUUUUUAAGGAACUGCCAAACUGUUUUCCAAAGCUGAUGCACCAUUUACAUUCCCACCAGCUCU
rnacentral:pre_miRNA from 1 species